GAUAGCGAACAAGUACCGUGAGGGAAAGAUGAAAAGAACUUUGAAAAGAGAGUUAAAGAGUACCUGAAACUGCUGAAAGGGAACCGAAUCGUUUCCAGUGUCUAUAAUCCGUGGUAUAUUUCAUUGGCGAGUGUGUGCGUGCGUGUGCUGUGGCAGCGGCUUUUUUGGCUGCGCUCGGCGUGUGUGCUGUGUGUGCUUGCUGGUGCCCUGUGCUGCGGUGGGACGUCAAGGUCAGUUCGUAUGCUG